UGGUCGGGAGGGGUACGGUGGGACGUACUCCAGCAUAGACCGGACUUAGCCGCUCUUAUGGGUGUGCAUCGCGGCCCCGGCGAUGGCGCA
rfam:Sulfitobacter donghicola DSW-25 = KCTC 12864 = JCM 14565 contig15_scaffold15, whole genome shotgun sequence.